rnacentral:lncRNA from 1 species
GAUGAGUAUUCUUUUAGAUUUUUUGAUCAAUAGUUGUAUUUUUAAAAAAAUAAUUUUCAAAAAUUCUAUUUUAGGAAAGUUUUCAUUUUUUUAUAGAAAUAUUGUAGAUUUGGGGUUGUGAUUUUUAAAUUAGGAUAAUAAGAAUUUUUGUUGAUAGAUGAGUAUUUUUUAAGAUUUUUUUAUCAAUAGGUUGUAUAUUUUAGAUAAAAUUCUCAAAAAUUCUAUUUAAGUAAAGUUUUUAUUUUUAUUGAGAACUAUUAUAGAUUUGGGGAUGUGAUUUAGAAAUUAGGAUAACUAGAAUUUUUGUUGAUAGAUGAGUCUUCUUUUAAAAUUUUUGAUUAAUAGAUUGUAUACUUUAGAUAAAAUUCGCAAAAAUUUUAUUUUUGGAAAG